rnacentral:lncRNA from 1 species
CAAUUAUAGCAUGGAUAAUAAACGAUUAUCAUGAACAAAUAAAUAUAAUAAUAACUAAUUUAUUAUUGCCUCUAGGGCAUAUUUCCAACAGAUCCAUCCGGCGAUCUCAUCAUGAUCCGUCCCGCGAUCUCAUCACGAUCCUUCCCGAUCUAGCGCCGAAUGGGCGACACCUCCGCGUUCAGCACACGUACGGCUCGAUGACAUCUCCUCCUUCUUGGUCGAACAAGAGAGCAAGGAGAAGUAGAUGGGAUCUCAACCAGCACAAUUGCAUGGUGGAGAUGAUGGUGGAGCAGUGCCAGCAGGGUUCGCCAAGGGCUCCUGGAACCGAUCUAAGGCGAAAACAGAGUUAUGGGAGAGGUAGGGCUGCCACCGGAG